AGUCAGCUGGGAUAGGCUCCAGCUUGCCUGCGACCCUGUAGAACAGGAUAAAGCGGCUAGAGAUAAUGAAAUGAGAUGAGAUGUUUUUGGUUGUCACUUUGAGGUGUAAUUAAUGGAUAUUUUCAGAUGCUGAGGAUAAGUCCAGAUAAACUUAUACUGGAAUGAAGGGAUUCUGUAAAUGUGGAUUUAAGAAGGAAGUUCAACACUGGACUGGACUCCUGUCUCGAUCCUGACGUUUGUCCAUCCUCAGCUAAACGUUACAUCACAUGUGGGUAACACGCCAAUUUCACUUCACUCUGUAUUUAUAACCAGAAAUAUCAUGCUUGUAAAUAUUGAAUAAAAAACUUUAUGGACUGAA